rnacentral:rRNA from 1 species
CGCGACCCCAGGUCAGGCGGGGCUACCCGCUGAGUUUAAGCAUAUCAAUAAGCGUAGGAAAAGAAAC